UAAAGUGGUGUGGUCUACACCAAUUAAGUACAACUUUUUUAUCCAAAAAGAAAAAUGAACCUAUUGAAGUGGGAGACAUUCCAAAAAGUAAAAUGAGUCUAUUAGAGUGGGACGGAGUGAGUAAUAUUGUAGUGACAUAUUCCUACAACGUUUGAAUUUUUCUUUAUUCAUUGGCGCGGAUGCACGAGACUGGAGCUCCAACCAACCAAUUUUUUUUUUAAUUUUUUUUUUGUUAUACAUUUAUGCUACUCUUUGCUAAUUUGUCCAAAAACUUAGGCGGUAACUCUCAUCGCCAUCGAAUUGUUUAAGGCACGAAAAGGACACUGCCGACUAAAAAUGAGUGUGAAAUUAAAC
rnacentral:lncRNA from 1 species